rnacentral:rRNA from 1 species
CAGCACCUCAAGUGGUCAGGAUGAUUAUUGGGCCUAAAGCAUCCGUAGCCGGCGCUGUAAGUUUUCGGUUAAAUCUGUACGCUCAACGUACAGGCUGCCGGGAAUACUGCAGCGCUAGGGAGUGGGAGAGGUAGACGGUACUCGGUAGGAAGGGGUAAAAUCCUUUGAUCUAUUGAUGACCACCUGUGGCGAAGGCGGUCUACCAGAACACGUCCGACGGUGAGGGAUGAAAGCUGGGAGCAAACCGGAUUAGAUACCCGAGUAGUCC